AAGAAAACCUUCUUUCUUUUUUCUUUUUUUUUUUCUUUCCUUUCGUACCAAACGUUCAUAUUACAUUAAUAUAUCGAUAUUUUAAAAUGUAUGCAAUUCUAAUCGUACUGAAAUAUUUUACGAUAAGGACAAAUCUAAUUCGAUCUAAUUCGAUCUAAUUUAGUGCAACCCGUCGGUGGUUAUUCUCGGUUCGUUUUGAUGAAUUUCACGCAAAGAGAUGUGAAUAUCGAUAUCCAUGAGAUUAUAAAAUUGAGAUCAAAGUUCUAUUUAACUACGGAAAAAGAAAAGGAAAAAAGAGAGAAAAAGAAUGAAGAAAAAAGGAAAGGAAGACGGAC